GAACGCUGGCGGCAGGCUUAACACAUGCAAGUCGAGCGGGGGAAGGUAGCUUGCUACCGGACCUAGCGGCGGACGGGUGAGUAAUGCUUAGGAAUCUGCCUAUUAGUGGGGGACAACAUCUCGAAAGGGAUGCUAAUACCGCAUACGUCCUACGGGAGAAAGCAGGGGAUCUUCGGACCUUGCGCUAAUAGAUGAGCCUAAGUCGGAUUAGCUAGUUGGUGGGGUAAAGGCCUACCAAGGCGACGAUCUGUAGCGGGUCUGAGAGGAUGAUCCGCCACACUGGGACUGAGACACGGCCCAGACUCCUACGGGAGGCAGCAGUGGGGAAUAUUGGACAAUGGGGGGAACCCUGAUCCAGCCAUGCCGCGUGUGUGAAGAAGGCCUCAUGGUUGUAAAGCACUUUAAGC
rnacentral:rRNA from 1 species